rnacentral:tRNA from 2 species
GGAAGGGUGGCAGAGUGGUCGAUUGCACCGGUCUUGAAAACCGGCAGGGGCGCAAGCCUCUCGUGGGUUCGAAUCCCACCCCUUCCGCCA